AUUAGGCUCUCACAGAUUGCGUAUUCUGUGGUGCAACAAUCACAAACUGCUUUCAUGCCGGACAGAAACAUCCUUGAAGGGGUGGUUGUCCUCCAUGAAACGCUCCAUGAAAUUCACUCCAAAAAAUUAGAUGGGUUAAUUUUUAAGGUGGAUUUCGAAAAAGCGUAUGAUAAGGUCAAGUGGCCGUUUCUCCAACAGGCUCUGCAUAUGAAAGGUUUCGACGAGACAUGGCGCCGGCAAGUCGAAUCAUUUACGCAAAAAGGAAGUGUGGGAAUUAGAGUGAAUGACGAUAUAGGUCAUUAUUUCCAGACUCAUAAAGGCCUCAGGCAAGGAGAUCCAAUGUCCCCUAUCCUGUUUAACAUUGUGGUGGAUAUGUUAGCAAUGUUGAUAGGAAGGGCUAAGGACAAUGGUCAAGUGGGUGGUUUGGUUCCUCAUCUUGUUGAUGGAGGUGUAUCCAUCCUUCAAUACGCAGAUGAUACA
rnacentral:rRNA from 1 species